rnacentral:rRNA from 1 species
GGCCCUUCGGGGUACACGAGUGGCGAACGGGUGAGUAACACGUGGGUAAUCUGCCCUGCACUUCGGGAUAAGCCUGGGAAACUGGGUCUAAUACCGGAUAUUCAGCUUCUGCCGCAUGGUGGUUGUUGGAAAGUUUUUCGGUGCAGGAUGUGCCCGCGGCCUAUCAGCUUGUUGGUGGGGUAAUGGCCUACCAAGGCGACGACGGGUAGCCGGCCUGAGAGGGUGAUCGGCCACAUUGGGACUGAGACACGGCCCAGACUCCUACGGGAGGCAGCAGUGGGGAAUAUUGCACAAUGGGCGCAAGCCUGAUGCAGCGACGCCGCGUGAGGGAUGACGGUCUUCGGAUUGUAAACCUCUUUCGGCAGGGACGAAGCGCAAGUGACGGUACCUGCAGAAGAAGCACCGGCCAACUACGUGCCAGCAGCCGCGGUAAUACGUAGGGUGCAAGCGUUGUCCGGAAUUACUGGGCGUAAAGAGCUCGUAGGCGGUUUGUCGCGUCGUCUGUGAAAUCCUACAGCUUAACUGUGGGCGUGCAGGCGAUACGGGCAGACUUGAGUACUACAGGGGAGACUGGAAUUCCUGGUGUAGCGGUGAAAUGCGCAGAUAUCAGAGGAACACCGGUGGCGAAAGCGGGUCUCUGGGUAGUAACUGACGCUGAGAGCGAAAGCAUGGUAGCGAACAGGAUUAGAUACCCUGGUAGUCCAUGCCGUAACGUGGGCGCUAGGUGUGGGUUUCCUUCCACGGAUCCGUGCCGCA